rnacentral:rRNA from 1 species
AUUGAACGCUGGCGGCAGGCUUAACACAUGCAAGUCGAGCGGUAGCACAGGGGAGCUUGCUCCCUGGGUGACGAGCGGCGGACGGGUGAGUAAUGUCUGGGAAACUGCCUGAUGGAGGGGGAUAACUACUGGAAACGGUAGCUAAUACCGCAUAACGUCGCAAGACCAAAGAGGGGGACCUUCGGGCCUCUUGCCAUCAGAUGUGCCCAGAUGGGAUUAUCUAGUAGGUGGGGUAAUGGCUCACCUAGGCGACGAUCCCUAGCUGGUCUGAGAGGAUGACCAGCCACACUGGAACUGAGACACGGUCCAGACUCCUACGGGAGGCAGCAGUGGGGAAUAUUGCACAAUGGGCGCAAGCCUGAUGCAGCCAUGCCGCGUGUGUGAAGAAGGCCUUCGGGUUGUAAAGCACUUUCAGCGAGGAGGAAGGUGGUGAACUUAAUACGUUCAUCAAUUGACGUUACUCGAAGAAGAAGCACCGGCUAACUCCGUG